rnacentral:misc_RNA from 1 species
GAUGAAGAACGUAGUGAAAUGCGAUAACUAAUGUGAAUUGCAGAAUUCCGUGAAUCAUCGAGUCUUUGAACGCACAUUGCGCCCCCUGGUAUUCCGGGGGGCAUGCCUGUCCGAGCGUCAUUGCAACCCUCAAGCACGGCUUGUCUAAUGGGCGGUUCGUCUGCGGCCAUCCGCCGGAGACGCCCCCGAAAUGCAGUGGGGAUGUUCGCUAAAUCGCAGCGUCAGGAAUGGAAAUAAACAAUGCUGACGGCUCGAUGUCGAACGUCCACCUAAGGCGUGCCGCCCCCCCGGGGUGUGCCGCCCAACCUCUCUCGGUUGACCUCGGAUCAGGUAGGGAUACCCGCUGAACUUAAGCAUAUCAAUAAGCGGAGGA